rnacentral:rRNA from 1 species
AUGACUGAACAAGCCAUCAACACACUAAGCUGGAACGUUCGCGGCCUCAACUGUCCAAACCGUAGGGCCACUGUGAGCGCAACGAUCGCGUCUUCGUCGUGCCACAUCGUUUGUCUCCAGGAGACGAAGCUGACCAUCGUCGACCAAUUCACGGCCGCAUUUCUUGGGGGCAACAGACUUCGUAGUUUCACGCAGCGACCGGCAGAGGGGACCAGAGGUGGCAUCCUUAUUUUGUGGGAUGAUCACCUAGUUGAGCUGACGAAUAUCACCUACACCAUCUACUGUAUUUCGGCAAUGGUGCGGAUUAAAGAAACAGAGUUGAUUUUCAAGCUCACA